rnacentral:lncRNA from 1 species
UUAACCAUCGUUGCCCCGGGGUGCCCUUGUGCUUGAGCACGUUACAUCUUUAGGGUUAUCGACAGCCACAGAAUUGGUGCGCUCAACUUGGACAUGCCAUUAGCCUCUGGGUAUGCAUUUUAAUUUUCUUAUGUGACCCACCAUACUACUUUUCUCUGUUUUUCACACUAACGUGCUUUCUUGUCAAUUCAAUUAUAUUGAAUUUUGCAAUUAUUAUUCUUCAACACGACACCAUUGGUAUAAACUGUGUUCGUGGUAACAUUUAAUUUGUAUUAGAACGUAAAAAGAAUGAAAAUCCAGAUAUUUAAAGCCAAUACGUGCUUUUAAGGUCGUUGUUGUUAUUAUCUGUAUUAUUGAUAUCAAUGAAAAAUUAAUCAGAGCAGGAUAAUGAGAAUUUCUCAAUUCAAGCUUUCAACAUAUUAUGAGAUUUUAAAAUUAUGAAAAGUACAAUGCAUCACUAAUUUAACUUGAGAUUUUGUGGUUAUAAUACAUAUUUACACAUUUUUAUCAAAUAAAAACACCAAAGAAAGACUAUGCGUUUGAUGAUUUUUUCAUAAGAUCUCCAUCCAAAAUAAACUUACUAUAUUUUAAAAUUAUAUUAUUAGACUUAAUAAUACUAAACAAGCUUUUCAACUCAAAAAUAUAUACAAAUGUAGAAAUAAGUAUGACACAACUUAAGAUUUUAGUAAAAACUAUUAUGAAAUAAUACAUCUUAUGUUAAACAUGUCCGUCCGGUUGGAGGGGCUCCGUCUCGCUACUAGAUUUCCGGUGCCUUGCAGGAAAUGCCGAACCCCACCCUCAUGGAUCCCGUCGUGAUCUACAAAAAACAUUGAAACAUAAUACACACCCUUACUGCGCUGCGUCUGUUUUCUGAGAAAACUACUUGGAGCUGAUUGAAUUGUGCUAUCCGCCCUUUGAGAUCCCCUCCGAAUGCCAAGAGAGCCUAGCAACCCGUUCGAUGGUACCGAACUAGUAAGGCCUGCAUGUCUCUCCCAACAUUUGGCAGGG